AGUUCCCGUCUAAGUUUUCCUUCAAAAGUGUGAAUCACUUUCAAGGUCUAGGGUUAUUAGGACUUAGAAUCUCUGAUUUAAAAAGUGAAGUUUAAUCUUCAAUCAAGUGCAGGGAAAGGGAGUGAGGUUGGCAGUCUUCUCCGUAGAACCUGCUUGUGACCAAUAUUUACUACGGCAACGCUCUGUUCUUAGAAACUUCUAUGAUGACGUUUGGGUGGGGUGGCCACAUCACAAGGCUUUGGGGUGACUGACAUCCAUGGACUGAGAAGCACGGUUAUCUCAUGGUGACGCACGCCUAUGAAGUGUGCCAUUACUUUGGGGAUUUUUAGCUUGUAGAAUAUUUUUCUUGUAGAUGAAGCAUCAGACACAUUUUUGUUCGAAAGAAGAGAAACAGUGAAAGUUGUGUCUGCUGCGAGGUCUGAGGGCCCCGGUAGCCCCAGGCCUCUGAGCUGGGGACUCAUUUAUCCCUGAGCAUCUCACGGGUGCCAUGAGUCCUGCUUUUUGGUCUGUGCCAGGGUCUUCUGGUAUCUGUGGCACGAAAGGCGUCCUUCCUUGGACCCAGGAAUCAGUGCAAUUCAUGCUGCAGCGCAUGGUGACACUGCAGGGUUUGAAAGAGGCGGGGACGGGGGCCAGAUCUGGUCGUGACGGAGCACGAGGAGUGAGGGACAGAGGCCUGAAGAAAAUGACUAGGGCAGCCCUAGCAGAGCUCUGAGGCUGGAUCUGCACGCCAAGCAGUCGGGAACCCAGCUGGGGAUGUGGAAAAGGUGCGGUGCGUGACUAGAGCCAGGCCCGUUCCCUGGGUGCCGAGCCAGGCUGUGCUCACUCUGAGCCCACAAACGCCAUGUUCUGUGCUGCAGAAGCAGAGACCGCAUGUCAUAGAUGCUCUGAGGGUCCAGUCCCGGGGCCCUUGGGUAACUUCCAUGACUCCCUCCCCACCUGGGGCCUGGGUCUUGGGAUAGGUUCCUUCUACUGUGUAACAGAUUACCCCAAACAUCAGGCAGC
rnacentral:lncRNA from 1 species